UACGUAGGGUGCAAGCGUUGUCCGGAAUUAUUGGGCGUAAAGAGCUCGUAGGCGGUUUGUCGCGUCUGCUGUGAAAACGCGAGGCUCAACCUCGCGCUGCAGUGGGUACGGGCAGACUGGAGUACUGCAGGGGAGACUGGAAUUCCUGGUGUAGCGGUGGAAUGCGCAGAUAUCAGGAGGAACACCGGUGGCGAAGGCGGGUCUCUGGGCAGUAACUGACGCUGAGGAGCGAAAGCGUGGGGAGCGAACAGG
rnacentral:rRNA from 1 species